rnacentral:rRNA from 2 species
CUGGCUCAGGACGAACGCUGGCGGCGCGCCUAACACAUGCAAGUCGAACGAGAUGAUUUAAAGUGCUUGCACUUUAAGUCAUCUAGUGGCGGACGGGUGAGUAACACGUGAGCAACCUGCCUUAAAGAGGGGGAUACCGUCUGGAAACGGACGUUAAUACCGCAUACGAUGCGAGAGUGGCAUCACUUUCGUAUGAAAGGAGCAAUCCGCUUUAAGAUGGGCUCGCGCCCGAUUAGGUAGUUGGUGAGGUAACGGCCCACCAAGCCCGCGAUCGGUAGCCGGACUGAGAGGUUGAACGGCCACAUUGGGACUGAGACACGGCCCAGACUCCUACGGGAGGCAGCAGUGGGGGAUAUUGCACAAUGGGGGAAACCCUGAUGCAGCGACGCCGCGUGAGUGAAGACGGUCUUCGGAUUGUAAAGCUCUGUCAACGGGGACGAUAAUGACGGUACCCGUGGAGGAAGCCACGGCUAACUACGUGCCAGCAGCCGCGGUAAUACGUAGGUGGCGAGCGUUGUCCGGAAUUACUGGGUGUAACAGGGAGCGCA